CCUACGGGGGGCAGCAGUGAGGAAUAUUGGGCAAUGCCCGCAAGGGUGACCCAGCAACGCCGCGUGGAGGAUGAAGGCCGUAAGGUUGUAAACUCCUGUUAGAGGAGAAGAAUAGUACCGAUUGGAUCGGUAUUUGACUGUACCCUCAGAGAAAGCCCCGGCUAACUACGUGCCAGCAGCCGCGGUAAUACGUAGGGGGCAAGCGUUGUCCGGUUUUAAUGGGUGUCAGGGGGGAUCAGAAGUGAUAGGUGAAAUCCUACAGCUUAACUGUAGAACUGCCUUUGAUACUGUUAGUCUUGAGUUCGGGAGAGAGAGACGGAAUUCCAGGUGUAGUGGUGAAAUACGUAGAUAUCUGGAAGAACACCAGUUGCGAAGGCGGUCUCUUGGUCCGAUACUGACGCUGAGGCGCGAAAGCGUGGGGAGCAAACAGGAUUAGAUACCCUUGUAGUC
rnacentral:rRNA from 1 species